UUUCGAUUUUCUGCAUAGACCAUUCAUUGUGCAGAACAGAUUACAAAUAGAAAAAAGAGGGCAGGCAGGGGGACAACAAAACAUGGUAAGCAAUGCUUUUCUUUUCCCUGCAGGAUGAGAUCAUAGAAGGCAACAUGGUGAUAAUAUUUAUUGAUGGGUGAAGUAUCCUAGGAAGACCAAAAUUCGCCUAAAUGCUGUAAUAAGCAGUAAGCUCCUCCCUUCCUAAUUGUAGAGGUCAUGUGAAUGUGCCUCAUUUCUUAGCUCAGUCCUUAACCUGCGAUGUAGAAUCUUCAACUGAAUAAAGAAUUGCAACCUGCAUGGGCAACCUUUGAUAUUUCAGAGUUUCUUUCCCCUUACCCUAAUCCACCACUAGUUAUACUACUUAACAAAAGUAUCUUUGAGGUCAGGAGGAUGGCACAUGUACAUUAUAAGCUGUGCUUGAAGGUCUGAUAUAGGAUCUUCUACUAUCACAUGAUUGCUGUUAAACUCUUUGGAGCAAAAACCCCACAUCGAUUCAACUUUUUGUAGCAAAAACUUUGUACCACAUAGCCCAAGAGACUUUUUAACGCACGACCUGCCCCAAGAAAAUACCAUGUCAGUUUGUAUUCAGAUCACCCAGCUCAAGACUUUGACUGCUAGAACUUCCGAUCUUGAUCAGAAAAUUCAUGACCAGCUAGGGCGGAUCUUCACUUGCAAGCUCUCAUUCAGCCUACCUUCUGCUUCCAACUGAGUGCUGGCAUCUGCACCAACCAAGAUAAGGUGUCAGACUUGAUAUAUUUGACAAAUCAACAAAGGCGUGCUCUGUUAACUCUCUAAGAACCAAGAUAAAGCUACAAGUGCUCUGAUCUGCACCAACCAAAAUAAUGUGUCAGCUUCCAGAUGUUUGAUAAUAAACGAAAUCCUGCUCUAUUAACCAUUUAACCCCUCA
rnacentral:lncRNA from 1 species